rnacentral:rRNA from 1 species
AAACAUCUAAGUACCCCGAGGAAAAGAAAUCAACCGAGAUUCCCCCAGUAGCGGCGAGCGAACGGGGAGGAGCCCAGAGCCUGAAUCAGUGUGUGUGUUAGUGGAAGCGUCUGGAAAGGCGCGCGAUACAGGGUGACAGCCCCGUACACAAAAAUGCACAUAUUGUGAGCUCGAUGAGUAGGGCGGGACACGUGGUAUCCUGUCUGAAUAUGGGGGGACCAUCCUCCAAGGCUAAAUACUCCUGACUGACCGAUAGUGAACCAGUACCGUGAGGGAAAGGCGAAAAGAACCCCGGCGAGGGGAGUGAAAAAGAACCUGAAACCGUGUACGUACAAGCAGUGGGAGCCUCUUUAUGGGGUGACUGCGUACCUUUUGUAUAAUGGGUCAGCGACUUAUAUUCUGUAGCAAGGUUAACCGAAUAGGGGAGCCGAAGGGAAACCGAGUCUUAACUGGGCGUUAAGUUGCAGGGUAUAGACCCGAAACCCGGUGAUCUAGCCAUGGGCAGGUUGAAGGUUGGGUAACACUAACUGGAGGACCGAACCGACUAAUGUUGAAAAAUUAGCGGAUGACUUGUGGCUGGGGGUGAAAGGCCAAUCAAACCGGGAGAUAGCUGGUUCUCCCCGAAAGCUAUUUAGGUAGCGCCUCGUGAAUUCAUCUCCGGGGGUAGAGCACUGUUUCGGCAAGGGGGUCAUCCCGACUUACCAACCCGAUGCAAACUGCGAAUACCGGAGAAUGUUAUCACGGGAGACACACGGCGGGUGCUAACGUCCGUCGUGAAGAGGGAAACAACCCAGACCGCCAGCUAAGGUCCCAAAGUCAUGGUUAAGUGGGAAACGAUGUGGGAAGGCCCAGACAGCCAGGAUGUUGGCUUAGAAGCAGCCAUCAUUUAAAGAAAGCGUAAUAGCUCACUGGUCGAGUCGGCCUGCGCGGAAGAUGUAACGGGGCUAAACCAUGCACCGAAGCUGCGGCAGCGACGCUUAUGCGUUGUUGGGUAGGGGAGCGUUCUGUAAGCCUGCGAAGGUGUGCUGUGAGGCAUGCUGGAGGUAUCAGAAGUGCGAAUGCUGACAUAAGUAACGAUAAAGCGGGUGAAAAGCCCGCUCGCCGGAAGACCAAGGGUUCCUGUCCAACGUUAAUCGGGGCAGGGUGAGUCGACCCCUAAGGCGAGGCCGAAAGGCGUAGUCGAUGGGAAACAGGUUAAUAUUCCUGUACUUGGUGUUACUGCGAAGGGGGGACGGAGAAGGCUAUGUUGGCCGGGCGACGGUUGUCCCGGUUUAAGCGUGUAGGCUGGUUUUCCAGGCAAAUCCGGAAAAUCAAGGCUGAGGCGUGAUGACGAGGCACUACGGUGCUGAAGCAACAAAUGCCCUGCUUCCAGGAAAAGCCUCUAAGCAUCAGGUAACAUCAAAUCGUACCCCAAACCGACACAGGUGGUCAGGUAGAGAAUACCAAGGCGCUUGAGAGAACUCGGGUGAAGGAACUAGGCAAAAUGGUGCCGUAACUUCGGGAGAAGGCACGCUGAUAUGUAGGUGAAGCGACUUGCUCGUGGAGCUGAAAUCAGUCGAAGAUACCAGCUGGCUGCAACUGUUUAUUAAAAACACAGCACUGUGCAAACACGAAAGUGGACGUAUACGGUGUGACGCCUGCCCGGUGCCGGAAGGUUAAUUGAUGGGGUCAGCGCAAGCGAAGCUCUUGAUCGAAGCCCCGGUAAACGGCGGCCGUAACUAUAACGGUCCUAAGGUAGCGAAAUUCCUUGUCGGGUAAGUUCCGACCUGCACGAAUGGCGUAAUGAUGGCCAGGCUGUCUCCACCCGAGACUCAGUGAAAUUGAACUCGCUGUGAAGAUGCAGUGUACCCGCGGCAAGACGGAAAGACCCCGUGAACCUUUACUAUAGCUUGACACUGAACAUUGAGCCUUGAUG